ACGGAAGGCAGCAGUGGGGAAUAUUGGGCAAUGGGCGAAAGCCUGACCCAGCGACGCCGCGUGAAGGAAGAAGGCCCUCGGGUUGUAAACUUCAGUCAACAGGGAAGAAACAAAUGACGGUACCUGUGGAGGAAGCCACGGCUAACUACGUGCCAGCAGCCGCGGUAAUACGUAGGUGGCGAGCGUUAUCCGGAUUUACUGGGUGUAAAGGGUGUGUAGGCGGGUCUGCAAGUCAGAUGUGAAAACUAUGGGCUCAACUCAUAGCUUGCAUUUGAAACUGUAGAUCUUGAGUGUCGGAGAGGUAAAUGGAAUUCCCAGUGUAGCGGUGAAAUGCGUAGAUAUUGGGAGGAACACCAGUGGCGAAGGCGGCUUACUGGACCAUUACUGACGCUGAGACACGAAAGCGUGGGGAGCAAACAGGAUUAGAUACCCUGGUA
rnacentral:rRNA from 1 species